GGAGCCAACGCAGGGAACUGAAACAUCUAAGUACCUGCAGGAAAAGAAAAUAACUAAUGAUUCCCUAAGUAGUGGCGAGCGAACAGGGAAGAGCCCAAACCGGAUCGAAGCAAUUCUAUCCGGGGUUGUAGGACUACUUUUAGAAAGUCAGAUCAAGUUGAAUCAUCUGGAAAGAUGAGCCGUAGCAGGUGAUAGCCCUGUAGACAGAAAUUCUGAUGGACGUGUAGUAUCCUGAGUAGUGCGGGACCGGAGGAAUCCUGUAUGAAACUGCCAGCACCAUCUGGUAAGGCUAAAUACUCCUUAGAUACCGAUAGUGAACCAGUACCGUAAGGGAAAGGUGAAAAGUACUCCGAACAGGAGAGUGAAAUAGUUCCUGAAACCGUGCGCUUACAAGCGGUCGGAGCUCGCAAGAGUGACGGCGUGCCUUUUGCAUAAUGAGCCUACGAGUUACUCCUCACUGGCAAGGUUAAGGUCUUCAGUACCGGAGCCGCAGCGAAAGCAAGUUCUAACAGAGCGAAUUAGUCAGUGGGGGUAGACGCGAAACUUUGUGAUCUAUCCAUGGGCAGGAUGAAGGUUAGGUAAAACUAACUGGAGGUCCGAACUCAUUAGCGUUGAAAAGCUAUGGGAUGACCUGUGGAUAGGGGUGAAAGGCCAAUCAAACUGAGAGAUAGCUCGUUCUCCCCGAAAUGUUUUUAGGAACAGCCUUGGAUAUAGACGUGUUAUAGAGGUAGAGCUACUAAUUGGGCUAGGGGGCUUCACCGCCUACCAAACCCUAAUAAACUCCGAAUGCUAUAACAUAAUCUCCAGGAGUGAGGCUGUGGGCGCUAAGGUCCAUGGCCGAGAGGGAAAUAACCCAGACUAACAGCUAAGGUCCCUAAUGAUAUGUUAAGUUGAUCAAACGCGGUUCAAAUCCUAAAACAGCCAGGAUGUUGGCUUGGAAGCAGCCAUUCAUUUAAAGAGUGCGUAACAGCUCACUGGUCGAGGGUUUGGGCACGGAAAAUAAUCGGGCAUCAAACAUAUAACCGAAGCUUUAGGCCUAGUAUUUAGGUACUAGACGGUAGGGGAGCAUUCUAAACUGCAUCGAAGGUGUGUCGCGAGACAUGCUGGAGCGUUUAGAAAAGAAAAUGUAGGCAUAAGUAACGAUAAAUAAGAUGAAAAAUCUUAUCGCCGUAAGACUAAGGGUUCCUGAUCAACGCUAAUCGGAUCAGGGUUAGUCGGGUCCUUAGGCAAAGCCGAGAGGCGUAGCUGAUGGCAAGUUGGUGAAUAUUCCAACACCUGCUGUAAAUUCGAUGGAGUAACGGAGUAGUGAAAGGACUGCGCACUUACGGAAUAGUGCGUUAAAGGGGGUAGUUAUAU
rnacentral:rRNA from 1 species